AUGGCAUGGUGAUGAUAUUGUUGAACCUUUCCAUAUGAUAAUACAUAUGAUUAAGAUAACCUCCUACUCAUACUGA